rnacentral:rRNA from 1 species
ACGGCGAGUGAAGCGGCAACAGCUCAAAUUUGAAAUCUGGCCCUUUCAGGGCCCGAGUUGUAAUUUGCAGAGGGCGCUUUGGCGUUGGCUCCUGCCUAAGUUCCUUGGAACAGGACGUCAUAGAGGGUGAGAACCCCGUACGUGGCAGGCCGCCUUCGCCGUGUAAAGCCCCUUCGACGAGUCGAGUUGUUUGGGAAUGCAGCUCUAAAUGGGAGGUAAAUUCCUUCUAAAGCUAAAUACUGGCCAGAGACCGAUAGCGCACAAGUAGAGUGAUCGAAAGAUGAAAAGCACUUUGGAAAGAGAGUCAAAAAGCACGUGAAAUUGUUGAAAGGGAAGCGCUUGCAGCCAGACUUGCCUGCAGUUGUUCAUCCGGGCUCCCGCCCGGUGCACUCCUCUGCGGGCAGGCCAGCAUCAGUUUGGGCGGCCGGAUAAAGGCCCCAGGAACGUAGCUCUCUCCGGGGAGUGUUAUAGCCUGGGGCGCAAUGCGGCCAGCCCGGACUGAGGUCCGCGCAUCUGCUAGGAUGCUGGCGUAAUGGCUGUAAGCGGCCCGUCUUGAAACACGGACCAAGGAGUCUAACAUCUAUGCGAGUGUUUGGGUGUAAAGCCCGGGCGCGUAAUGAAAGUGAACGGAGGUGGGAACCCCCUGGGGUGCACCAUCGACCGAUCCUGAUGUCUUCGGAUGGAUUUGAGUAAGAGCAUAGCUGUUGGGACCCGAAAGAUGGUGAACUAUGCCUGAAUAGGGUGAAGCCAGAGGAAACUCUGGUGGAGGCUCGCAGCGGUUCUGACGUGCAAAUCGAUCGUCAAAUUUGGGCAUAGGGGCGAA